GAUAAAAUGAAUUUCAGUUGCUACUGGAAAAAAUCAGGAAUUGUAUGAGAUUUGCAAGAGCUAGUUUCUUAAACGGAAAUUGAGUCCUAUUUUGUGGGAAAUUAGUUUUGCAGACUUUCUGAAAAAAAAAAUCUAAAACUUUUGUUCAGCAGCUGCUCCACUUUUCCCUGCAGUUUCAGACUGAGCUGGAACCUGCAGCAGUCUUUCGACGUGAAUCUGAUUGCUCACAAAAGCUGCCAGAAAAAGACAACUCUGAUCAGAGAGAGCAUGAGCAGAGAAAGUCCAGUUUCCCAGAUACGCAGCCUCAAGGACUAUUUUGUACCGGUGUUAGGGUUUUAAGGGUAAGAAAUUGAGAAUGGAUCUCCUUGGAGAGGAAGGAUAGAGAAUGGUACAUCUGAAGGACACAAUUUAUCAUGCUAAACAUUGAUAUCCCAGAGCGGCGUGCAGAAGCCACAGUUUGGAAGAAGAGCAUGAACGAAGGCAGGGGAAGAUACCAGACUGGUGGUGAUCCCAAGCCUCUCACACGCUGACGCAUUCAUUUGUAGAGCAUUUUGAUGGUACAUCUGUUUCCAUAAUACCCGUGAAAGUUAAGGGGAAAUCAUCAUCCACAUGUUCAUCCAGAAGGAACUGAGGUACAGACAUCAGAAUCUGUUGGGGCUGGCAGACCAAUUUCACACCACCUAGGCAUGAUUUUAAAAAUGUCAUAUGUAUCAUAUCAACAUGUAUCACAGCAAGUGUUCUGCUGCUUUCCAAAUCACAGCUUCCUAUGCAGCUUAGCUACAAGUGUGUGUGCUCAGUACUUGUGCAAAUCAGUCCUCCAUAACCUCUGCCACCAGACACCCAGAAAGCAAGUAGUACACAAUUGCUGAUUGCCUUUGAGAAGCUUGUUUCUAGAAAGUCAUGCAGUGCCCCCCCACAGGAGGCCCGCAACAGAGAUAAGAAGAGAACCCAGAUCAUCAGGGCAUCAUCAAGCUGCUGCACGUGCAUGGUCAUCUUUGCGUCUUCUGCAGUCUCUAACUCGUUCAGCACAUCUUCCAGCCUCUGCAGCAAGCGGCAACUGUUCCCUUCACUACAAAAUCUUGAUUCAGCCCUUGAUGAGCCCACCCCGCUUGCUGAACAACUUUCUCUGCUGAAAUAGUAGAUGAACGUAAGCAAGCCUUUUAUAAUUAGAGAUGUGGAUGGGAUUCAGGCUUUCUGGUAAUGUUCCACAGGAAAUUCUGCAGUUAAGAAAUGUUGAAUGUGCUUCUCAAAUGCAUAAAAAGUAAGUUUUCUGAAGCUGAUCUGUUUGUUUUGUUUUCAACUUUUGGAGCUAUUUGAAGUUUUCUAAUAUUGGAUUUAUUUCAAAAUACAAAGCAAGCUGACAAGAAAUACCAAUGCAUUCCACUCUGAAAACAGAGAAACAAAACCAUCCAGCAGUAUCAAAGCACCUUUUCCUCUCCCUCCCCACACUCCCACCAUCCCAGGAAAUCUUUGAAAUUUCUAGAUAUUACUAUAAAAUAUCUGUAACCUCAAUUCUGGCACCACUCAAAUUUUGUAAUGUUCAGAACCACGAUAAUAUUAUUUUAUAUUGCUUGUGUAUAUGUUGUUUCUUAGGUCUCUUAAAAUGUGGGCUGGAAAACCAGGAAAAAAACCAGAAAUACUAUCGGUUGGUAUCAUAUUAUCAUCCACGUGGUUAAGAACAGGGACAGAAGACCUCAGUAAUUAGGAGUUAAUGGAGCAGCUGGCAGCAGCAGGAGGAUUUGUGUUAGAGAAGUUUAAACUUUCCAACAAGUUUCAUAGCAGGUUUCAUUUGCCUUCUGAGAAGAAAUGGUGACACUCAGGAAUUCACAAGUCAUCUGAGACCCUAGAAGAAAGCAUUUUGUCACCAAAAAACCCCCUUCCUUAAAGCUUCAUUCCUUCUUUUUGCUCCUACAUCAUGCUGCUCCACUCCCUCAUCUUAGUCCUCUCCUCACCUUCUAAUUAUCUCUUACAAAUCUGGAGUGGAAGAUAGGAGUCCUGUGUCUAAGCACCAUGUCUGUGACCACUGCUCCCCUUGAUGGUGAGCAAAAAUCCAGUAUUGUCUCAAAGCACAUCCUGCUCUGUCAUCUCCACCAAGAGAAGAUCUAGUCUUGCCCAGUAUUUACACUGAGACUUUUGCAGAGGACAGUUUAGUUUAUUCAAGCUAAUAGUGCUUACACUAAGAAUAUUCUUAAGAUCCCUGUAAUGACAGUUACUAAAACUGAAACAUUAGCAAAAUAAACAAGAUUUCCUAUUUUAUUUUCCAGGAACACAAGUUAGUCUUGACUUGGGACCUAAAGAUGAUACCAUGUGAUAAACUGAGUUCCAAGCAGUAAAGUUUUCAUAACACCUACAUGAAGAUGAAAAUAUACUUUCAGAACUUCCAUCUCUAACUUUUAAAAAUUAUGAGCAGAAGUCAUUAAAGACCUUGUUCUCCUUCUCUGUUGUCUUCCCAGUCUUUCAGAAAUCCUAGGAUGAAUAAAGACAUUCACCUUACUAGAUUCUAUAGUUCACCAAUACUUGGUCAUAGUUUCUUGCUGGUGCCUUCAGAACACGGAAUUUCCUUGUGAUUUUCCCUCAAAAUACUAUAUUAUUUAAGAAAUAUUUUGUGUUUAGGAAGAAUUAAGAUGUAGUUCAAUGAACCCACUACAGGCAACAUACAGACUGAAUAUUUAAAACUGUACGUGAGGUUUUACUGCACUGUACACUCUCUGACAUGACACACCAACAAUUACUGCACUCCAAGAGUAAAAGGCAAACCCAUCCCCGAAGAAAAAAGUUCUGUUGUCUAUAGAUAAGAAUACACUGCUCAAUCAUCAGUAUCAAAGAUUUUUUUUUCUAAAGGUAAAAGUUUCUAGGUAUUGAAAACUUCUUUUCACGGUAAUAUUCUAGGCAGCAAACCUUAGAAAACAGUUCUAAUUCUGUCAGUCUGCAUGUAAAAUUCAUGCUUAUAUCACUCAU